rnacentral:rRNA from 1 species
CCUACGGGUGGCAGCAGUAGGGAAUCUUCCACAAUGGGCGAAAGCCUGAUGGAGCAACGCCGCGUGGGUGAAGAAGGUCUUCGGAUCGUAAAACUCUGUUGUUAGAGAAGAAAGAGCGGGAGAGUAACUGUCCACGUUUCGACGGUAUCUAACCAGAAAGCCACGGCUAACUACGUGCCAGCAGCCGCGGUAAUACGUAGGUGGCAAGCGUUAUCCGGAUUUAUUGGGCGUAAAGGGAGCGCAGGCGGUCUUUUAAGUCUGAUGUGAAAGCCUUCGGCUUAACCGGAGUAGUGCAUUGGAAACUGGGAGACUUGAGUGCAGAAGAGGAGAGUGGAACGCCAUGUGUAGCGGUGAAAUGCGUAGAUAUAUGGAAGAACACCAGUGGCGAAAGCGGCUCUCUGGUCUGUAACUGACGCUGAGGUUCGAAAGCGUGGGUAGCAAACAGGAUUAGAUACCCCUGUAGUC